rnacentral:rRNA from 1 species
UACGUAGGGUCCGAGCGUUGUCCGGAAUUACUGGGCGUAAAGAGCUCGUAGGUGGUUUGUCGCGUUGUUCGUGAAAACUCACAGCUCAACUGUGGGCGUGCGGGCGAUACGGGCAGACUUGAGUACUGCAGGGGAGACUGGAAUUCCUGGUGUAGCGGUGAAAUGCGCAGAUAUCAGGAAGAACACCCGUGGCUAAGGCGGCUCUCUAGUACGGUACUGACGCUGAGACGCGAAAGCGUGGGGAGCGAACAGG